GUCUCUUUUUGCAGGAGGCUGCUGUCGAGGCCAGGUCAGACCUCCCUGCGGGCUGGCUCCCGUGUUUCCCCUUUAGUUUGGUCUUCUUUGGUUGGACUUUUGCUUUGUGAUAAAUGGCUUUAAGGAAAUGUUUCUGAUUCAGGAUGAGAAUUACACCAGUUGUCCUUCUGCUUGAAGUGCAGUUUGCCUGCAGUGUGACUGUGAUUGCUGUCCUUUUUUUCUAUGUGGAUCGAAGGAAAGUUUGUGAACAUUGCAAAGAAUAUGGCGAUGGUGGAAAUAAAAGUAAAACUAUCACUGCAGCAUACUGUUGCAGUCACAGAGGUACUGUAUUUAAAAGAAAACACAUAACCUACUGGACGAAUCUGCUCAUCCUCUUUUGCUGGUUAGAAUGUUAGUUUGGUUUUCUUGUCACAGUGUCACAUUAUUGUAAACCGGAGGUCACUAUAUGUCAUGUUUUGAAUGUAAAAUAUAAUUUUGCACACUAGAUAAUACCUUUUAUUGUCGAAUUAAGGAAAUACAACCCGUCCCUGUUUGUCCCUGUGUGUCCCACCACAAAGUGCUAUUGCUGCAGGAAAUGCUGAACACCUAAUUUUAGAUGUUAUAUGCUUUGCACAAGCACAACUGUGCUAGUUUCUAUUCACAUGUAUGUGAAUUGAAACUAGCACAGUUGUCCUUGAGGAAAGCACCCUUGACUGCUCAAAGCUCAGUUGAACACUGAAGCUGUUUUGGGCACAUUAUAGGAGUGAUUGUGUUUGACUGUAAAGCCAAAAACUUACUAUUCAUCUGUGUUCUUUAAUAAGAGAUGACAAAAAUCAGACUGAUAUGACAGAAGUAACCAUAUCCCUCAUGUGUACACACAUUCUAAAGGCUUUGUUUUUAUUUUAACAGGAACAGUGAGUGAUUCCCAUCAUCUUGGACACAACAGUUCAACUGUAAAUCAAUGAAAUAACCUGCUGAAUGGUGAAGCAAAGGCAGCAAACUAUGCAGCACAAGAUAUCUCUUCAAGGAAAGUGAAAAGACAGAAGAACAGCGAAUACUUGACAGAGUGUAUGUACUCUGUUGUUAAAGCAGAUGUCAGCCACACCCCUCUCUAUAACGUCUUUUCCACUGCAUGGUACCAGCUCGACUCGACUCGCCUUGACUCUACUCGCCUUUUUUUGGUUUUCCACUGUGGAAAAGUUGUACCUGUACCUGCUACCAGGUACUUUUUUUCCUCCAUCGAGGUUCCAAGCGAGCUGAGGCAAUACUAAAAUGUGAUGUGAAAACACGGCAACUACUGAUUGGUCAGAGCGAAUCAUCACCAUUCACUGCAUCAUCAUUUCACACACCAGACAGAUGCCAGCUACAGAAAGUUUUACAUUUUAUAAUUUUCAUACGUUAUUUCAUCACUAAAUCCACUUCUGAGAAAUCAACUGUGUAGAGGUGAGAAAUCAACUGUGUGGAGGUGAGAAAUCAACUGUGUAGAUUUUGUAUAUUGCGAAAAGUGAUGGCGGAACAAAAAUGUGCUUGAAAGUUUUCGGAAUUGAGGAUUGAAGUGGUGGUGGGGGAUGCCUGCGCCAACCCGCGGGAGGAGCCCACGAGGCGGCCCGCUCACAGAGCCCUCUGGUCCCACGGUCACACAGACCGCUCCAGCAAAAACGGCAGAGGAAAACCAAGCUGUGAGGUUUUCAUACCGCUUAUCUGUCUUUAUAUUUGGAAUAAUGUUUGAACGUUUUAGGUUUUAACUAGUGCUGUCAGCAUUAACGCAUUAAUAGCAAUGAGAAUAAAGACAGAUCAUAACGUUUUAAUUGAGUUAAUCACGUUAUACGCGUGUGUCAAAUAUUCUUAUUACACCGUCACUGGUGCUGUUACCAAAGAAUCUUUGCCUAAAAGCUAUUUUGACCGUUGAGCGCACCCUUACUACCUGCCACCUCCUGCUGUAGCCAUCGUGCAUUGCAUUUUUUCACUGGCUGUAAUUAUAGGACACAUCAUUGUACCCUUUACUACAAAGCUAAAUGGCCCUCUCUCUAUGCUAGAAGGUACACUCAUUGGAUGUUUCACGCACUUCUUGGACUAGCUCCUACCUCUUUGAGUAUCUUUUUAACAAGUACUCAAGGCCAUUAUGGAUUACGUUCAAAGGACGUUUUCCACUUGUUGGUCCUCCAUGUCCGAACAGAAUUAGGUAAAAAAGCCUUCAUGUUUGCUGCACCUUCUGCUUGGAACCUUCUUCAGAACUUGUUGAAACUGCCUUUAUUUCUUAUAGACAGUUUGUUUCAACUCUGAAAGAUCAUUUCAUCUCAUUGGUUUCAACUGAAUUUAAAAAUAAUGUAGCUAUGGAGUAUUUUGUUAGUUAUGCACUUU